rnacentral:lncRNA from 1 species
GGGUUUAGGCAUUGGAAAUAAAUUAUAAAAGAUUAUAGUAUUGAUUAACUUAUAUUAAAUUAGGGAGAUGUUAUUUUUAUAACUUGUGAUUGGUGAGUAAUGUAUAUUGUUGAGAUUAUGUAUAUGUCGAUUACGGCAAAAAGUAUAUGAUUACAAAGUGAUGAAAGUACGAUCCAAGUGGUAAACUAAGUUCCAUCUGUGUAGAAGUAAACUAAUUUCCAUCUGUGUAGAAUCUCUCGGUGAGAUUCUUAGUGUUUUAGAAUGAAAGUAGGGGCUCAGCCUUGGGAGUCAUUCUGACGCUUCAAUGGUUAAUCAAACUCACUUAGAGAGGUUGAACCCUGUGGUGAGAAGUAGCAGGAGGUCCUUGGUCUUGGGGGCUCCCAGUAUGCCUCAAGGCGCGGAACGGACUAAUCUCGUGAGUGUGGCAGGGUGGGGAACCCAAGUUUCAUAAGUCACCACGGGUGCAAGACUCGCCAUAGCCCGACUAUCAUUUUAAAGUCCGGACGAGUCAAGUCUAGAAAAUAACAUGUUUAGGUUGUGUUUCUUAAACUGUUUGAUGUGAAGUUGUCUCUUGUAUGUUACACGCUUAGAUUGAGUUGUAUGAUGUUAUAUAAUUAGCUCACCCUUGCAUUGCUUGUGUCUGUGUAUGUUGUAUGUGUUCCUGUUGCGAUGAUCAUCCAUUUUUAGAUGUGAGCAGAGGAGAAUGAGGUCUCUGUGGAAAACGCUGGGGAGGAGAAUGAAGACGCAACUGCUUAGUUCCC